rnacentral:rRNA from 1 species
GACGAACGCUGGCGGCGUGCCUAAUACAUGCAAGUAGAACGCUGAAGGAGGAGCUUGCUUCUCUGGAUGAGUUGCGAACGGGUGAGUAACGCGUAGGUAACCUGCCUGGUAGCGGGGGAUAACUAUUGGAAACGAUAGCUAAUACCGCAUAAGAGUAGAUGUUGCAUGACAUUUGCUUAAAAGGUGCAAUUGCAUCACUACCAGAUGGACCUGCGUUGUAUUAGCUAGUUGGUGGGGUAACGGCUUACCAAGGCGACGAUACAUAGCCGACCUGAGAGGGUGAUCGGCCACACUGGGACUGAGACACGGCCCAGACUCCUACGGGAGGCAGCAGUAGGGAAUCUUCGGCAAUGGACGGAAGUCUGACCAAGCAACGCCGCGUGAGUGAAGAAGGUUUUCGGAUCGUAAAGCUCUGUUGUAAGAGAAGAACGAGUGUGAGAGUGGAAAGUUCACACUGUGACGGUAUCUUACCAGAAAGGGACGGCUAACUACGUG